rnacentral:rRNA from 1 species
AUACGGAGGAUGCGAGCGUUAUCCGGAUUUAUUGGGUUUAAAGGGAGCGUAGGUGGGAUAUUAAGUCAGCUGUGAAAGUUUGGGGCUCAACCUUAAAAUUGCAGUUGAUACUGGUUUCCUUGAGUACGGUACAGGUGGGCGGAAUUCGUGGUGUAGCGGUGAAAUGCUUAGAUAUCACGAAGAACUCCGAUCGCGAAGGCAGCUCACCGGGCCGGAACUGACACUGAUGCUCGAAAGUGCGGGUAUCAAACAGGAUUAGAUACCCUGGUGGUCCGCACAGUAAACGAUGAAUACUCGCUGUUUGCGAUACACGGUAAGCGGCCAAGCGAAAGCGUUAAGUAUUCCACCUGGGGAGUACGCCGGCAACGGUGAAACUCAAAGGAAUUGGCGGGG